AGCAAAAUGAGGAGGUCAUAUGAUCUGAAGUGUGAUGUUGAUACACCCAUCCAUGGUCUUCAAAGUUCUCUGAUUGCU
rnacentral:snoRNA from 2 species